AUGAACGCUAGCUACAGGCUUAACACAUGCAAGUCGAGGGGCAGCAUGGUCUUAGCUUGCUAAGGCCGAUGGCGACCGGCGCACGGGUGAGUAACGCGUAUCCAACCUGCCUUACACUCUUGGACAGCCUUCUGAAAGGGAGAUUAAUACAAGAUGUUAUCAUGAGUAAGCAUUUUCGCAUGAUUAAAGGUUUACCGGUGUAAGAUGGGGAUGCGUUCCAUUAGAUAGUAGGCGGGGUAACGGCCCACCUAGUCUUCGAUGGAUAGGGGUUCUGAGAGGAAGGUCCCCCACAUUGGAACUGAGACACGGUCCAAACUCCUACGGGAGGCAGCAGUGAGGAAUAUUGGUCAAUGGACGAGAGUCUGAACCAGCCAAGUAGCGUGAAGGAUGAAGGUUCUAUGGAUUGUAAACUUCUUUUAUACGGGAAUAAACGAAUCCACGUGUGGAUUUUUGCAUGUACCGUAUGAAUAAGGAUCGGCUAACUCCGUGCCAGCAGCCGCGGUAAUACGGAGGAUCCGAGCGUUAUCCGGAUUUAUUGGGUUUAAAGGGAGCGUAGAUGGGUUGUUAAGUCAGUUGUGAAAGUUUGCGGCUCAACCGUAAAAUUGCGAUUGAUACUGGCAGUCUUGAGUACAGUUGAGGUAGGCGGAAUUCGUGGUGUAGCGGUGAAAUGCUUAGAUAUCACGAAGAACUCCGAUUGCGAAGGCAGCUUACUAACCUGUAACUGACAUUGAUGCUCGAAAGUGUGGGUAUCAAACAGGAUUAGAUACCCUGGUAGUCCACACGGUAAACGAUGGAUACUCGCUGUAGGCGAUAUACAGUCUGCGGCCAAGCGAAAGCAUUAAGUAUUCCACCUGGGGAGUACGCCGGCAACGGUGAAACUCAAAGGAAUUGACGGGGGCCCGCACAAGCGGAGGAACAUGUGGUUUAAUUCGAUGAUACGCGAGGAACCUUACCCGGGCUUAAAUUGCAACCGAAUAUGGCGGAAACGCUAUAGCUAGCAAUAGCGGUUGUGAAGGUGCUGCAUGGUUGUCGUCAGCUCGUGCCGUGAGGUGUCGGCUUAAGUGCCAUAACGAGCGCAACCCUUGCCGAUAGUUACUAACAGGUUAUGCUGAGGACUCUGUCGGGACUGCCAUCGUAAGAUGUGAGGAAGGUGGGGAUGACGUCAAAUCAGCACGGCCCUUACGUCCGGGGCUACACACGUGUUACAAUGGGGGGUACAGAGGGCUGCUACCACGCAAGUGGAUGCCAAUCCCAAAAACCUCUCUCAGUUCGGAUUGAAGUCUGCAACCCGACUUCAUGAAGUUGGAUUCGCUAGUAAUCGCGCAUCAGCCACGGCGCGGUGAAUACGUUCCCGGGCCUUGUACACACCGCCCGUCAAGCCAUGGGAGCCGGGGGUACCUGAAGUGCGUAACCGCAAGGAGCGCCCUAGGGUAAAACUGGUGACUGGGGCU
rnacentral:rRNA from 1 species